rnacentral:lncRNA from 1 species
AUGACAUUAGUAUAUAAUUGCAGGCUGAUGAGAGGUUCAAGUUAAUCUUGUUGUAACUUCUAAGGGAAGGAGAGGGCUAAAAAAUUCUGAGUCAUUGACUAUUGUGUUGAAAGCUAGGAAGUGACAUAUUGUUUUGACUGAAAAGGCUCUCAUAUAAAUAUAUAAGUUCAGAUACACAUGUAUACAUGAAUAGCGGGCUCAAUUAUAUGUAAUGGUGUUUUUGAUUAGUUGCGCAUGCUUACCUGGGCUAAUAUGUAAGUAAUAUGCCUUAUUCAUGCAACUAUGUAUUGUUCUAUUUUUUUUUUUUCCUGAUGACAUCUAUGUUUGCUGCAAGGUUGUACAGUUUGAAAUUGGUUACUAGCUUUCUUAUUCAAUCAUGAAGAAUGUAUGCUUUUGGUGUUAUGACUUCAAAUGUGGAAUGAAUAUUUAUGGGAUUGUAGAUUAUCUUCUUUGUUCAUUUUUAAUUACUUUUAGAGUCUAACAAUUACCUUGAGUAUUAGAUAUAAUUAUUCUGAUAUUUAAUUUGACAUAAGUUUAUGAUUUCUAAAUGUUUUAGUUGACUGCAGGAAGGUUGCAGGGAGAGACAGCGGCAGCAGCUAGGAG